UUAAAUAUUAUUUUUCUCAGCGCUUAAAUAUUUUUUUCCUAAAAUGGCAUCUAAAGUUAAAUUUAGCCAAAUGGCUCCAAUUGCAUUAAUAAAUCGACUGACACAUGGCAUAUAUUAGAAAAUGUUGUGUGGCAUUUUAACCAUUUAGAAUGCAGUAAAAUUUUAAUAAAUUGUUAAAUAUAUAAAUAUAGUUUCAAAAAAACCAAAAA
rnacentral:lncRNA from 1 species